GGGACGUUAGCUCAGUUGGUAGAGCAGCGGACUUUUAAUCCGUUGGUCGCAGGUUCGAAUCCCGCACGUCCUA
rfam:Curvibacter sp. PAE-TM genomic scaffold Scaffold1, whole genome shotgun sequence.